UGUGAAUCUUGAUGAUCUUCACUGCUAUCCAUAUUCUGAAUUCUAUUUCUGUCAUUUCAGACAUUGCAGCCCAUUUAAGAACCCUUGGUGGGGAACUAGUGUGUUCAUUUGAAGGAAAAAAGGGACUUUGGCUUUUUGAGUUGCCAGAGUUCUCGUACUGGUUCUUUCUAGUUUGUGUGGACUCAUGUCCCUUUAGUCUUUGAGGUUGCUGUCCUUUGGAUGGAUUUUUUUGCCUUUUUUUUAAUUGAUGCUUAUGGGAGUUUGAUUGUGGUGUAAAGUGGAUUCAGUUGACUGGCUUCAAUUUUAAUUGGCUCAUGAGUCUUGAAGGAGCUUCCUCUGAGUACUUUAUGUCCGCAUUUUUUUUUUCUUUGUUGGGUAUUCUGGUCUAGAGAGCCUUCUCAGGCAGGGGCCAUAGUUGGCAGACAAGCCGUAUCCUUGCCAGGUCAGCCCUAAUCCAAUCUGCUGGCCACAGAAUUCAGGUGGAAGCAGAACUGCUGUGUUGGAAGCUCUCUAGGUGUCACCCAUCUGAUUAUGGGAGGUGGGGGUCAGUGGAGUUGCCCACUCUGCAAUCCAGGUGUUUCCAGGGCAGCAGGAGGCUGUGCCCCUUGGCAAAUAAAAACAGAAAUAGGACUUCGGAGCUGUAAGUUCUAGCAGGCAUGGCUUGCCUGGCUACCAGCAGUGGGGGUAGAUGGGAAUGUUACCUUGCUGUUUGUUUGGAUUCUUCCUUGGACAACAAGAGGCUGUGCCCACUGGCUGAGUUCCCACAGAAGAUAUUGGGAGACUUCAUCCUCCAGCUGAGUUCCCACAGAAGCAGGACCACUGGGCCAGAAGUUCUAGCAGAUGUCUGCCAGACUACCAGCGGCAGGUGUGGCUGGGAUGUUCUCAAGACACCCAGAAUAGAAGCACUGUGUCAUUCAAGCAUUCCUGAUGGCUGGAGAGCUAUCCUCAAAAUGGCACUGGCAAAAAGGACACCAGCCAGGCAUAUUCGAUUAAGGACCACCCUAAUGACCUCAUUUCAACUAAAUCACCUCUGUGAAGACCCUGUCUCAAAUAAAGUCACUUUCUGA
rnacentral:lncRNA from 1 species